CCGAGUUUACAACUCCCAAACCCAAUGUGAACAUACCUAAACGUUGCCUCGGCGGGACCGCCCCGGCGCCCCUCGGGCCCGGAACCAGGCGCCCGCCGCAGGAAAACAAACCUCUGUUUUUGUUAAGAUUUCUCCUCUGAGUGGAUUUUACAAAUAAAUCA
rnacentral:misc_RNA from 1 species